UUUUUUUAUGGAGAGUUUGAUCCUGGCUCAGGACGAACGCUGGCGGCGUGCUUAACACAUGCAAGUCGAACGGAAAGGCCUAGCUUGCUAGGUACUCGAGUGGCGAACGGGUGAGUAACACGUGGGUGAUCUGCCUCGUACUUCGGGAUAAGCCUGGGAAACUGGGUCUAAUACUGGAUAGGACCAUGCUUUAGUGUGUGUGGUGGAAAGUUUUUUCGGUACGAGAUGAGCCCGCGGCCUAUCAGCUUGUUGGUGGGGUAAUGGCCUACCAAGGCGUCGACGGGUAGCCGGCCUGAGAGGGUGGACGGCCACAUUGGGACUGAGAUACGGCCCAGACUCCUACGGGAGGCAGCAGUGGGGAAUAUUGCACAAUGGGCGCAAGCCUGAUGCAGCGACGCCGCGUGGGGGAUGACGGCCUUCGGGUUGUAAACCUCUUUCGCUAGGGACGAAGCUUUUUGUGACGGUACCUAGAUAAGAAGCACCGGCUAACUACGUGCCAGCAGCCGCGGUAAUACGUAGGGUGCGAGCGUUGUCCGGAAUUACUGGGCGUAAAGAGCUCGUAGGUGGUUUGUCGCGUCGUCUGUGAAAUUCCGGGGCUUAACUUCGGGCGUGCAGGCGAUACGGGCAUAACUUGAGUGCUGUAGGGGAGACUGGAAUUCCUGGUGUAGCGGUGGAAUGCGCAGAUAUCAGGAGGAACACCGAUGGCGAAGGCAGGUCUCUGGGCAGUAACUGACGCUGAGGAGCGAAAGCAUGGGGAGCGAACAGGAUUAGAUACCCUGGUAGUCCAUGCCGUAAACGGUGGGCGCUAGGUGUGAGGGUCUUCCACGACUUUCGUGCCGUAGCUAACGCAUUAAGCGCCCCGCCUGGGGAGUACGGCCGCAAGGCUAAAACUCAAAGGAAUUGACGGGGGCCCGCACAAGCGGCGGAGCAUGUGGAUUAAUUCGAUGCAACGCGAAGAACCUUACCUGGGCUUGACAUAUGCAGGAUCGGCGUAGAGAUACGUUUUCCCUUGUGGUCUGUAUACAGGUGGUGCAUGGUUGUCGUCAGCUCGUGUCGUGAGAUGUUGGGUUAAGUCCCGCAACGAGCGCAACCCUUGUCUUAUGUUGCCAGCACGUGAUGGUGGGGACUCAUGAGAGACUGCCGGGGUUAACUCGGAGGAAGGUGGGGAUGACGUCAAAUCAUCAUGCCCCUUAUGUCCAGGGCUUCACACAUGCUACAAUGGUCGGUACAACGCGCUGCGAGCCUGUGAGGGUGAGCGAAUCGCUGAAAGCCGGCCUCAGUUCGGAUUGGGGUCUGCAACUCGACCCCAUGAAGUCGGAGUCGCUAGUAAUCGCAGAUCAGCAACGCUGCGGUGAAUACGUUCCCGGGCCUUGUACACACCGCCCGUCACGUCAUGAAAGUUGGUAACACCCGAAGCCAGUGGCCUAACCCUUGUGGGGGGAGCUGUCGAAGGUGGGACCGGCGAUUGGGACGAAGUCGUAACAAGGUAGCCGUACCGGAAGGUGCGGCUGGAUCACCUCCUUUCUAAGGAG
rnacentral:rRNA from 3 species